rnacentral:rRNA from 1 species
UACGGUCUCAGUUCAGAUUGCAGGCUGCAACUCGCCUGCAUGAAGUUGGAAUUGCUAGUAAUCGCGAAUCAGAAUGUCGCGGUGAAUACGUUCCCGGGCCUUGUACACACCGCCCGUCACACCAUGAGAGUCGAUAACACCCGAAGCCUGUGAGCUAACCUUUUAGGAGGCAGCAGUCGAAGGUGGGGUUGAUGAUUGGGGUGAAGUCGUAACAAGGUAAC